rnacentral:rRNA from 1 species
AACGAACGCUGGCGGCAGGCUUAACACAUGCAAGUCGAGCGCCCCGCAAGGGGAGCGGCAGACGGGUGAGUAACGCGUGGGAAUCUACCCAUCUCUACGGAAUAACGCAUGGAAACGUGUGCUAAUACCGUAUACGUCCUUCGGGAGAAAGAUUUAUCGGAGAUGGAUGAGCCCGCGUUGGAUUAGCUAGUUGGUGGGGUAAAGGCCUACCAAGGCGACGAUCCGUAGCUGGUCUGAGAGGAUGAUCAGCCAAACUGGGACUGAGACACGGCCCAGACUCCUACGUGAGGCCGCAGUGGGGAAUAUUGGACAAUGGGAGCAAGCCUGUUCCAGCCAUGCCGCGUGAGUGAUGAAGGCCCUAGGGUUGUAAAGCACUUUCACCGGUGAAGAUAAUGACGGUAACCGGAGAAGAAGCCACGGCUAACUUCGUGCCAGCCGCCGCCGUAACAC